GGUGACUUGAUUCCUGAUAUAAAAUAUUUUGUCUUCUACAGUUAGUUAUAUUUUCCUGAAGCCAUCUUAAAUAUAUGCUCAUUCUUUGAAUAAAUAGUUGUUAGAUGCCUUCUAGGAACCAGGUACUGUUGUAGGCUCUGGAGAUUCAACAGACAGGACAAAGUCCCUGUGCCUAUGAAGUAUACAUUCUAACGGGGGAGACAGGGGCUGGCCCCGUGGCCAAGUGGUUAAGUUCGCGAGCUCCGC